GGCCGGGGCCUUGCCUUGACUGGGGGCAAGAUCCUCUUUAGACUCUUGUACCCCUAAAUUUGGUGGAGCUCCUGCUCUGCCAUUUUGUUUAUGUCGAAAGACAACAGUGGAGCUAGUAGA
rfam:Pseudomonas fluorescens Pf-5, complete genome.